rnacentral:rRNA from 1 species
GACGUAGGGCGCGAGCGUUGUCCGGAUUUAUGGGGCGUAAAGAGCUCGUAGGCGGCUUGUCGCGUCGACCGUGAAAACUUGGGGCUCAACCCCAAGCCUGCGGUCGAUACGGGCAGGCUAGAGUUCGGUAGGGGAGACUGGAAUUCCUGGUGUAGCGGUGAAAUGCGCAGAUAUCAGGAAGAACACCCGUGGCGAAGGCGGCUCUCUGGAACGCAACUGACGCUGAGACGCGAAAGCGUGGGGAGCAAACAGG